GUAAACGACUGGUUGAGCCAUGGCUGCUGGGAUUGGCCAAGACUCAGCGAUUGUUACAGGCACAUACUCCUAAGUUAGGUUUUCAAUCUUGCCUACCUAUUAAGUUAGGUAGCAGUUCAUCCACAAGGACUCAAAUAUAGAGGUAUGGAGUCCUUCUCAGGCCGUGUUUAGUUUGCUUUAACACACUCAAUAAAGAAGACAUUUUUGAAAUGAAAACAGUGAAAUUCCAGAUGAACAGUAAAUAGAACUACCAGUCAGUGAGUCAUUUUUCUUGGCUGACCCACAGUGAAAAUGCAUAAAAAUACUGGAGAAAGUAUAAUAUAAAAUGACAUUUAAUGAAGAAGACUUCAGUAAAUCGAUGAGGAAGUCAGGAUUUUUCUGGUUACGUUUAUAGCAAGGCAGAUUGCACAUCCUGGGACAUCUUAGUAGAAGCGAGUGAGAAAGGCUUAUUUUAGGAUUUGGGCUUGUAUUAGGUGAUACUGAGAAGUGGAGCUUUGCCAGGAUUGGUUGCUGUCAAGGGAGUAGAGGCAAUUUUAUGACUGGGUAUUUUAACAAAUCUUAUUGAAGGGGGCAGGAAUAAACUGAGUCUAAAGCUUUAAUUGGCAAGAUCCUCUCAUAUUAGAGGAUGGGGGAUAUUUUGGUUAUUUUUGUGGUUUGGACAUGUUUGUUUUUCUGUUCAGACAUCAUGAUGGAGUGCUCCUGUUUUUGUCAUGAUCACAGAGUGCUCUGGUCUGAUGUUGAUGUUCAGUGAAACUGUUUAUGUUCCACACCAAGGCCUAAAUAUGAGUGCCAGGCCAACUUUCAGUUGUCAGGGGCUGCUUUUUCCUUUCUUACCUCUAUGGGGUGAUAUAGUUCCUGUAAGGGUAAAAACUUUGGAAGGAUAAAGGAACAAAAUGUGGUGGAUUGCUAUAGAGGACUAACACUGAUCCUCAAACUUUGACAUGCGUCAGAAUCUCCUGGCAGACCUAUGAAAAUAUGGGGGCUGCCCCCUCCGCCAGAUUUUCUGAUUCAGUAGGUCUAAUGUGAGACUUGAAAAUUUGCAUUUCUAACCAGUCCUCAGGUGUUGUCUAUGCUACCAGACCACACUUUGAAAACCACUGAAGUAGAUGGAAGUAUCAAAAGUGAGGAUGAUUACAGUGUAAGAAAACUGACCCAACAGAGUUAUCUGCAAUUCUCAAGAUAAAAAUCGAGAGCGGGCCAGCUGCAGUGGCUCAUGCCUGUAAUCCUAACACACUGGGAGGCCGAAGCGGGUGGAUCAUCUGAGGUCAGGAGUUCGAGACCAGCCUGGCCAACAUGGUGAAACCC
rnacentral:lncRNA from 1 species